rnacentral:miRNA from 1 species
GAGGAUGAGCUUCGGCGGUGA